AGGGUGCAGGGCGGAUGCCUUGGCACUAGGAGCCGAUGAAGGACGUGAUAAGCUGCGAUAAGCUUCGGGGAGUUGCACGUAAACUUUGAUCCGAAGAUUUCCGAAUGAGGAAACUCACUUAGAGUAAUGUCUAAGUAUCAUUAAGUGAAUACAUAGCUUAAUGAGGGGAACUCAGGGAACUGAAACAUCUAAGUACCUGAAGGAAGAGAAAGAAAUUCGAUUCCGUAAGUAGCGGCGAGCGAACGCGGAUUAGCCCAAACCAAUAAAGUUUUCUUUAUUGGGGUUGCGGACAUAUCAUAACGAAGAGGUAUCGUAAUUGAAGAGGUUUGGAAAGACCCACCACAGAAGGUAAUAGUCCUGUAUGUUAAACGAGAAGACUUUAGAUAUGAUCCAGAGUACCACGGGACACGUGAAACCCUGUGGGAAGCAGGAGGGACCACCCUCCAAGGCUAAAUACUACCUAGUGACCGAUAGCGUAUAGUACCGUGAGGGAAAGGUGAAAAGAACCCCGGGAGGGGAGUGAAAUAGAACCUGAAACCCUGCACUUACAAGCUGUGGAAGCACAUUUCUUGUGUGACCGCGUACUUUUUGUAGAACGGGCCAACGAGUUACGUUAAGUAGCAAGGUUAAGCACUUAAGGUGUGGAGCCGUAGCGAAAGCGAGUUUUAACUGAGCGUUCAGUUACUUGACGUAGACCCGAAACCGGGCGACCUACCCAUGAGCAGGAUGAAGCGAAAGUAAAAUUUCGUGGAGGUCCGAACCCACGAGCGUUGAAAAGCUCGGGGAUGACUUGUGGGUAGCGGUGAAAUUCCAAUCGAGCCCGGAGAUAGCUGGUUCUCCCCGAAAUAGCUUUAGGGCUAGCCUCAAGGUGAGAGAUACGGAGGUAGAGCACUGAAUGUCCUAGGGGGUAUUGCACCUACCGAAGACUAUCAAACUCCGAAUGCCGUCAUCUUAUACUUGGGAGUCAGACUGUGGGUGAUAAGAUUCAUAGUCGAAAGGGCAACAGCCCAGAUCGUCAGCUAAGGUCCCUAAAUGUAAGUUAAGUGGUAAAGGAUGUGGGAUUGCACAGACAACCAGGAUGUUGGCUUAGAAGCAGCCACUCAUUCAAAGAGUGCGUAAUAGCUCACUGGUCGAGUGAUCCUGCGCCGAAGAUUUCCGGGGCUAAAACUUACUACCGAAGCUACGGCAUCAGUAAUGAUGGGUAGGGGAGCUUCCCAUACGGGUUGAAGCAUGACCGUAAGGACAUGUGGACAGUAUGGGAGUGAGAAUGUUGGCAUGAGUAGCGAGAUGUGGGUGAGAAUCCCACAGGCCGUAAACCCAAGGUUUCCAGGGGAAGGUUCGUCCGCCCUGGGUUAGUCGGGACCUAAGCUGAGGCCGAAAGGCGUAGGUGAUGGACAACAGGUUGAUAUUCCUGUACUACCGAUAACCGUUUGAGAGAAGGGAUGACACAGUAGGAUAAGCUAAGCACACUGUUGGUUAUGUGUGCCCAAGCAUUGAGGCAGUCAAAGUAGGCAAAUCCGCUUUGAUAAUGCUGGGAUGUGAUGGGGAGCGAAAUUUAGUAGCGAAGUAGCUGAUUUCACACUGUCAAGAAAAGUCUCUAUCGAGGUUAAAGGUACCCGUACCGCAAACCGACACAGGUGGGUGAGGAGAGUAUCCUAAGGCCAGCGAGAGAACUGUUGUUAAGGAACUCGGCAAAAUGACCCCGUAACUUAGGGAUAAGGGGUGCCACCAUCAGGUGGCCGCAGAGAAUAGGCCCAAGCGACUGUUUACCAAAAACAUAGGUUUCUGCUAAGUCGCAAGACGAUGUAUAGGAGCUGACGCCUGCCCGGUGCUGGAAGGUUAAGGGGAUCUGUUAGAGCAAUCGAAGCAGUGAACUUAAGCCCCAGUAAACGGCGGCCGUAACUAUAACGGUCCUAAGGUAGCGAAAUUCCUUGUCGGGUAAGUUCCGACCCGCACGAAAGGCGUAACGAUUUGGGCACUGUCUCAACAACAGACUCGGUGAAAUUGUAAUUCCGGUGAAGAUGCCGGAUACCUGCGACAGGACGGAAAGACCCCAUGGAGCUUUACUGUAGCUUGACAUUGGGUCUUGGUACUACAUGUACAGGAUAGGUGGGAGGCUUUGAAACCAGGACGCCAGUUUUGGCGGAGCCAUCCUUGGGAUACCACCCUUGUAGUACUGGGACUCUAACCAUAGGCCAUGAAUCU
rnacentral:rRNA from 1 species